rnacentral:rRNA from 1 species
UACAGGGGUCUCGAGCGUUGUUCGGAUUCAUUGGGCGUAAAGGGUGCGUAGGCGGCGGGGUAAGUCAGGUGUGAAAUCCCGGAGCUCAACUCCGGAACUGCACUUGAUACUGCUUCGCUAGAGUACUGGAGAGGAGACUGGAAUUUACGGUGUAGCAGUGAAAUGCGUAGAGAUCGUAAGGAAGACCAGUGGCGAAGGCGAGUCUCUGGACAGUUACUGACGCUGAGGCACGAAGGCCAGGGGAGCAAACGGG